UUGCUGGAGGUAUCAGAAGUGCGAAUGCUGACAUAAGUAACGAUAAAGCGGGUGAAAAGCCCGCUCGCCGGAAGACCAAGGGUUCCUGUCCAACGUUAAUCGGGGCAGGGUGAGUCGACCCCUAAGGCGAGGCCGAAAGGCGUAGUCGAUGGGAAACGGGUUAAUAUUCCCGUACUUGGUGUUACUGCGAAGGGGGGACGGAGAAGGCUAUGUUGGCCGGGCGACGGUUGUCCCGGUUUAAGCGUGUAGGUGUGUGUUCCAGGUAAAUCCGGUUCACUUUAACACUGAGGCGUGACGACGAGGCACUACGGUGCUGAAGCAACAAAUGCCCUGCUUCCAGGAAAAGCCUCUAAGCAUCAGGUAACAUCAAAUCGUACCCCAAACCGACACAGGUGGUCAGGUAGAGAAUACCAAGGCGCUUGAGAGAACUCGGGUGAAGGAACUAGGCAAAAUGGUGCCGUAACUUCGGGAGAAGGCACGCUGACACGUAGGUGAAGUGAUUUACUCAUGGAGCUGAAGUCAGUCGAAGAUACCAGCUGGCUGCAACUGUUUAUUAAAAACACAGCACUGUGCAAACACGAAAGUGGACGUAUACGGUGUGACGCCUGCCCGGUGCCGGAAGGUUAAUUGAUGGGGUCAGCGCAAGCGAAGCUCCUGAUCGAAGCCCCGGUAAACGGCGGCCGUAACUAUAACGGUCCUAAGGUAGCGAAAUUCCUUGUCGGGUAAGUUCCGACCUGCACGAAUGGCGUAAUGAUGGCCAGGCUGUCUCCACCCGAGACUCAGUGAAAUUGAACUCGCUGUGAAG
rnacentral:rRNA from 1 species